AUCAUUGGUUUUGUCCUGGCUACGGAAGCAAGCGGGUCCGAAGCUUGACACAUGCGAGUUUUCUCUUGAAAAGAAUCGUUUUCGGAGAGCGUCCGGGUGAGGAAAUCUUCUUUCCCUUUCUCUGGUUCAAAGAUGCAAAUCGUGGAACAGCCAGUUCAAGUGAGGUUUCGCUUGCCAAGGUGGAGAAGAGGAACGGAAAGAGGAGGAAUUAGGUGAGGUUCGGACUUCGACAUCCCGAAGGAACAAUAGCCGAGGAUUCCUAGCAGGCUUGAAAGAGCGGCCUGUCACAUCGGGACUGAAAAGGGCCCGAACUUCGCAGAAGGCAGCAGUGGGGAAUCUUGGGCAAUGUGCGAAAAGCAUGACCCAGCGAACGGAUUUGCCUGAGACAGGAAUGCUUGUCAACGGAUCUGAAGGAUGCGCCGGAUGGGCGCAUUAAUGAGUCCUGGCCAAUCCCCGUGCCAGCAGCCGCGGUUAGACGGGAGGGGCGAGCUUGUUCCAGAAGGAAUCGGUGUAAAGCAGGGAAAGAGGGCCGAAGAAUCGUCCUGGUGGGUAAGGCUUUGAUCAUGCAAAGCGUCCCGCGAGGGUUCCCGGCUAGGAGGCAAAGAGCCGUGGUUGGAACUCUGUCAGGAACAAUCAAAUGUGAACAUCGGCAGAGGAAGGCCAGCCUUGAAGAAGAACCACGAGCUUUGACCUGACCUUGAAACCUGAAGGCGUAGGGAGCGAAACGGAUUAGAGACCCGUGUAGUCUACGCUGUCAACUAUGGAGAUGUGGACGGGAGAGAAAUGGCUCUCCUGUCCUUUGGAACCAAGGAAUCUCUCACCAGCAAACUAUUCUCGCAAGAGACGAAUGCAAAGGACUUGGCGGGACUCCUCACGAUCGGUGGACGAUGCUCUUUAAUCGGAGACAACGCCGAGAACCUUACCCUCUCUUGCAUGAUGCCAUCACAGGUACUACAUGGCCACCGGAAGCUCGUGCUGCAAAGUGUCAGGUUGGGUCCUUUGAACGAGCGCCUCGCGCCUUGGGGCUGGGUUCACCAGCGCUGAGACCUUUCGAUAGCCAAACGAACGGAAGAGCGUCAGAGGGUAGGUCGUGAUGAUCCUCAUGAGAGGGGCAAGAGGCGUCGUACAUUGGCAAGGCCACGAGACUCUUUCGCGAAGAAAGCAUUCUCUAAGGCUUGCCCUAGUUCGGAUCCUUUCCUGAAACUUGGAAAGGGGAAGAAGGAAUCGAAAGUAAACGGAGAAAAGCAUGCUCGGUUGAACAGGUUCUGGGAGUCUGCACAAACCGCCCAUCACGGGCUGGAAGGUCCCAUCGGAGGAAGAUGGUUCCUUUGGCGUCCCUCGUUCGGGAACGCCGAAGAAUGAUCGAAGCUGGUGAACUGACUAGUCCUAAGUUGUAACAAGGUAGCCGUAGGGGAACCUGCGGCUGGAAGAAACUGGAA
rnacentral:rRNA from 1 species